rnacentral:tRNA from 1 species
GCGGGGAUAGCUCAGUUGGGAGAGCGUCAGACUGAAGUCACAACUUCAUUCUUAAUGAUAUCUGAAGGUCGUGCGUUCGAUCCGCACUCACCGCA